GUUCAGAGAUUCGUUUUAUGUUUUUAAACAGAUGAGUCAAUUAAGCAAUGUUUACCUAAACACUUUCCUUCACAUUAAAGGAACUGUUAAGAUCAAAAUGGUCAACAAAUACUAAACCACAAGUAAACGGCAUAAUCGUCUGUUGACUCUUUACAACAGUUCAACCUUGGAACAAACAAAAGGAUAAACUAGAGCCUGUGUCGCUCACCUUGGUCUAUGAUCAUACUAAACAAAGGACAUACAUAAUAGAUGAGAAUAAAAUGCAUGAGAAAAUUAUGUUUUGGUGAUUAUGAUGUGUUUGUCAAUCUUACUUUACUGAACAUUCUUGCUG
rnacentral:lncRNA from 1 species